rnacentral:rRNA from 1 species
UGGGGAAUCUUGCACAAUGGGCGAAAGCCUGAUGCAGCGACGCCGCGUGGGGGAUGAAGGCCUUAGGGUCGUAAACCCCUUUCAGCAGGGACGAAAAUGACGGUACCUGCAGAAGAAGCCCCGGCCAACUACGUGCCAGCAGCCGCGGUAAGACGUAGGGGGCGAGCGUUGUCCGGAUUUAUUGGGCGUAAAGAGCUCGUAGGCGGUUGCGUAAGUCGGAUGUGAAAACUCAGGGCUCAACCCUGAGACGCCAUCCGAUACUGCGCUGACUUGAAUCCAGUAGGGGAGUGUGGAAUUCCUGGUGUAGCGGUGAAAUGCGCAGAUAUCAGGAGGAACACCCAUGGCGAAGGCAGCACUCUGGGCUGGUAUUGACGCUGAGGAGCGAAAGCAUGGGUAGCGAACAGGAUUAGAUACCCCAGUAGUCCCUGAGCGGGCUGGCAAGGCGCAU